rnacentral:rRNA from 1 species
GAUGAACGCUGGCGGCGUGCUUAACACAUGCAAGUCGAACGGACAGGCCCUGCUUUUGCGGGUUGCUUGUGUGGCGCACGGGUGAGUAACACGCGAGUAAACUGCCCCUGUCUUUGGGAUAACUCCAGGAAACUGGGGCUAUUACCGGAUAGGAGCUUCUGAUGCACAGUGGGGGAUGGUAAGUUUCGGCGGUUGGGGAUGGACUCGAGGCUUCUGCGCUUGUUUGUGGAGUUGUGGCUGACCAAGGCUUUGAAGGAUAGCAGGCCUGGGAGGGUGACCGGCCACAAUGGGACUGAGAUACGGCCCAGACGCCUACGGGACGCAGCAGGCGAGAACAUUGCACAGUAAGGGGAAGCCAGAUGCAACAACGCCGCGUGCGGGAUGACGUCCUUCGGGUGAUAAACCGCUUUCGCAGGUAACGAAGCGUGAGUGACGGUAAUGAGUAAGAAAGCACCGGCUAACUACGUG